GGAACCUAACUCACCAUUUUUCCUCAGCCGCUAGUGCUCUGCUCUCCACCAUCACUUCCACCUGCAACCCUAAUAUUUUCGUAUUAGAGAAGUGGACGGUAGAGAAAGGAGCCAUUAUGGCUAAAUCUUUCUAGUCUUGAGAUUCACUACUGUCAAAGAUUAACCAUGAUUCCGGCCCGAGGGAUUGAGAUUCAUUGAACCACUCAAAAAGUGUUGGCAAUCCGCGAAGAAUUUCAGAACAGGGUUCGAGGAGAGGAUUUCGACAAAAUCUACCACAAUAUUCCUUCAGUAAGGAUCCUUCCACCUCUAAAUCGUAUUUUGAUACAGAUACGUCUUGAACAAAAGCUUUAAUUCUGGAAGCCUUUCAUUCAGAGUGAUAUGAUGCCAAAGAAUCUGUAAAGGAGGAAAUUCGCUUGAGGUGAAAACCUUCUGAAGUUUUUUGACCAUGGGCUUAUUUUUUGCUUACUGCAGAUUGCUGUUAGUUAUCUUGAUAAUUGAUAUUUUAACCUUUCUGGUCAAGUUGUGCAUUUCUUAAUGAUUGAAGGCCUGCUUUUGUUUCUGCUUCCUCUCACUAAUUUGUUCUAUUGUGACUGGAGUGGGUUUGAAUUCAGUUAAUUAACUGAAUUCAGUUAAUUCAGUUAGCUAAAGGGCUAAUCCCGUAUGUCUUCCUUAAAAUGGUUUUUUAAGAUGUAUUUUUCUUUUAAUAAUACUUAUAUCUUUUUGACUAUGUAUGUACACAGCUUUGGACUUAUUACCACACACUUCUGAGGUUUCAGUUGAAUAGUUAAGUUCAAGCUAUUUAGUACUCCUUGAUAGGAACUAAAGUAGCAGUUAGACAGUGUUGUGUACUUUCUUUCAUGUUUGACUAAUGUUUAGUUCCCCUUUUGGUUCACAAGGAUGUCUUCCACAUCACUCUUGCUUGAUGUGGUACCAUCUUUGAUCAGCAACACUAUGUCUUUCCCCCAUAUCUGUUGGCAUUUAUGACAUCUGAAAUCAAACUAUUCCAAUUCUGGGUAGCUAAUGGAAAAGAGUUGUUGUCAGCAACGCUGCUUAAUGUCAAUUCAUUUAACAUAUGUAUGAAUUUUUCAGGUGUAUAUUUUUGCCUUUCAUUUUUAGUCCUAUAAUGCAGUAGCUAUUAAAUAUGUUCUUAAGAACAUGACAUUGUGAUGUUUUCUGGUGCAUAUCUGCCUCACAUAUGGCAUCUGAAGCAACAUCUCAGUCAAAAGGGAAAGGCAAAGGGUAUUUCACUUGGACUCCUGAAAUGGAUCGUGUAAUGGACACUUGUUUUAUUGACCAAAUGAACCAAGGAAACAAAUUGGAUGGUAAAUGUGCAUGGAAGACAGCAGCCUACACCGCCGUAAUGAAUGCUUUAUUCGAUAAGCUCAAUAUAUCUGUGACAAAGGCUAAUAUUAUAUCUCGUUUCAAGACAUGGGAGAAACACUAUGACAUCCUAUACCCACUGCUCCAGUCAUAUAACUCUGGGUCUGCGAUAAUAUGGGACUACUCUAGAGGUAGAAUUGAUGUUUGUGAUGAGGAUGUAUGGAAUGCUCGAGUAAGUGAGAAUCCAAAAAUUGUUCCUUAUAGAAAAAAAAAUAGUGGUUGAAAAUUGGGAGGAUAUCUGUACAUUGUUUUCACAAGAUCGUGCAAAUGGAGAGGGCGCCCAAACUGCUUUUGAGGCUAAUGUUGAUACUGAAGUUGAAGAGUCUGCUAAUGUAGAGGAAUCAUUUGAGACUGAUUCACGUUCUUUAGAAGAUGAAGUUAUGAAUGCAUUGCUAGCUCGACAACGGUCAAAAUCAAAAUCGUCAUCUUCAACAAAUGAUCGUGGUACAAAGAGGAAACUGACAAGCUCUCAAGCACUUUACAAGGUGUUGGGACGAAUGGCAGAUUCACUGGAUAAGUACUUAAAUUCAGAAUGUUCAAAAGUUACAACUAAAAUGGUGGAAGAUGAGUUAUCUGAAAUUGAAUUGGAUAGAUUUCAAUUGUUAAAGGGUAUCGAUUUACUUAUGAAUGACAGGACAAAGUAUGACACUUUUUUUGGUCUCCGAGAUGACUUAAAAAAGGAUUGGCUAUUGAUGCACAUUGGUAAUUGAUUUUAUUUGGUAACCUCCAUUUGAAGUUGUUUCUGUUGGGAGAAGAAAUUGAGCAUAUUGCUGGAAGCCAAGUAGAGAAAGCAGAAGCUGUUACUACUCCAUCGUGUACUUUUUAAAUUCUAAUGAGUUCUUUGUUUUUCAUGUAAUGGAUCAAAACAAGAUUAUAGAAAGAUUCUAGGAAAUAUUUCAGCUAUUUUCUGUCUGAUUUUUGAGAUGAUAAGAAUGGGACAUUGGAUCUUUUGUCUGAUGAACUAGCAUUUUAGGUAUUGAGAUUAACAUAGCAGCCUAUGUUGAUGACCUGACUUGUCCUUGAGUUGCAUGAACCUAUAUGGUGAUCAAUGCUGCUGUUUUUUUAUUUUUUUCAUGCUAUCCAGAUGCUUGUUGAGCA